rnacentral:misc_RNA from 1 species
AACCAUAGAAACCUGCGGAGUACCUGCGGAGGGAUCAUUAUAGUAUAUGGAAUCUCCAUUCUAUAAACCCACUCUGCGUAUCUUGUAACUGUUGCUUCCAUGGGACUUGGUUCCGCCACACCGGCUUCACGGCUGGUGAGCGCCCAUGGAAGGAGAAACAAAACUCUUCUUUGAAAUGUAGUCAGUCUGAACAAGUUUUUACAAACGUUAAAACUUUCAGCAAUGGAUCUCAGAUCGGAA